rnacentral:rRNA from 1 species
CCCUUAGAUGUCCGGGGCCGCACGCGCGCUACACUGAAGGAAUCAGCGUGGCUUUCUCCCUGACCCGAAAGGGUUGGGAAACCCGUUGAAUCUCCUUCGUGAUAGGGAUUGGGGCUUGAAAUUGUUCCCCAUAAACGAGGAAUUCCCAGUAAGCGCGAGUCAUAAGCUCGCGUUGAUUACGUCCCUGCCCUUUGUACACACCGCCCGUCGCUACUACCGAUUGAACGGUUUAGUGAGGGCCUCGGAUUGGUCUCGGCCCGCUCUUUACCGGGCGGCGCCGUUGGUCGAGAAGACGCUCGAACUUGAUCGUUUAGAGGAAGUAAAAGUCGUAACA